rnacentral:lncRNA from 1 species
AGAAAUUGAAAAAUUAAUUUAUUAUAUGAAGAAACAUGAACAAUAUUUAUUAGAGUGAAUGGCUGCUGAGAAGCAGCCUGCAAAAGCUCUCAUCCACAAUGUACAGGCUGAGAAGUACUGAUACAUACACUCAUAACCAUAGCAAUAAUGUUCUGAGGAGGCUUCCAAGGAAAUGCUGCAUUUAACAAUCAAUUUUAAAGUUUAUUUUUCCCAUUUACAAGGCUGAAAAGAUUAUAUCCACAUUCAAUUAAAGUCUAGCAGGAUCAGGCAUUCAAAUUGUAAAGCAAAUUAACAAAAGAUGCUGUUACAUCCUUUAUGAAACAUGACAGAUACAAAAAUGAUAAGCUCAUCUGCUAUCAAAAGCAAUUUCGCAGAUUUCAGUGGGUCUUUUUCCUCCAAGUACUAUAUGUUUGAGUGCUAAUUUUUUACGUAACUGAUGGUAAGAGAAAAGGCAACUGCUGAGUUCUCUCCAAGAGUAAAAGACCAUUUAUUUACACUUGUCCUUCCAUAAAGUCAAAGGCCGACAUAUUCCCUGAAGACACUCACGUAAAUGAUGUUGUUUCUUUUCUAACAGUAAAACAAAAACAAUAACCUGUUUUGGGAUUUGAGUAACU